GACGAACGCUGGCGGCGUGCUUAACACAUGCAAGUCGAACGGAAAGGCCCUGCUUUUGUGGGGUGCUCGAGUGGCGAACGGGUGAGUAACACGUGAGUAACCUGCCCUUGACUUUGGGAUAACUUCAGGAAACUGGGGCUAAUACCGGAUAGGAGCUCCUGCUGCAUGGUGGGGGUUGGAAAGUUUCGGCGGUUGUGGAUGGACUCGCGGCUUAUCAGCUUGUUGGUGGGGUAGGGGCUUACCAAGGCUUUGACGGGUAGCCGGCCUGAGAGGGUGACCGGCCACAUUGGGACUGAGAUACGGCCCAGACUCCUAUGGGAGGCAGCAGUCGGGAAUAUUGCACAAUGGGCGGAAGCCUGAUGCAGCAACGCCGCGUGCGGGAUGACGGCCUUCGGGUUGUAAACCGCUUUCGCCUGUGACGAAGCGUGAGUGACGGUAAUGGGUAAAGAAGCACCGGCUAACUACGUG
rnacentral:rRNA from 1 species